UACGAAGGGGGCAAGCGUUGUUCGGAUUUACUGGGCGUAAAGGGCGCGCAGGCGGCGGGCCAAGUCAGGCGUGAAAGCCCCGGGCUUAACCUGGGAACUGCGUUUGAAACUGGGAGGCUAGAGUGUGGAAGAGGGGGGUGGAAUUCCAGGUGUAGCAGUGAAAUGCGUAGAGAUCUGGAGGAACACCGAUGGCGAAGGCAGCCCCCUGGGCUGACACUGACGCUCAUGCACGAAAGCGUGGGGAGCAAACAGG
rnacentral:rRNA from 1 species